AGACUCCUACGGGAGGCAGCAGUAGGGAAUAUUGCGCAAUGGGGGAAACCCUGACGCAGCAACGCCGCGUGGAGGAUGACACUUUUCGGAGCGUAAACUCCUUUUCUUAGGGAAGAAUUCUGACGGUACCUAAGGAAUAAGCACCGGCUAACUCCGUGCCAGCAGCCGCGGUAAUACGGAGGGUGCAAGCGUUACUCGGAAUCACUGGGCGUAAAGGGCGCGUAGGCGGAUUAUCAAGUCUCUUGUGAAAUCUAAUGGCUUAACCAUUAAACUGCUUGGGAAACUGAUAGUCUAGAGUGAGGGAGAGGCAGAUGGAAUUGGUGGUGUAGGGGUAAAAUCCGUAGAUAUCACCAAGAAUACCCAUUGCGAAGGCGAUCUGCUGGAACUCAACUGACGCUAAGGCGCGAAAGCGUGGGGAGCAAACAGGAUUAGAUACCCUGGUAGUCCACGCCCUAAACGAUGUACACUAGUUGUUGGGGUGCUAGUCAUCUCAGUAAUGCAGCUAACGCAUUAAGUGUACCGCCUGGGGAGUACGGUCGCAAGAUUAAAACUCAAAGGAAUAGACGGGGACCCGCACAAGCGGUGGAGCAUGUGGUUUAAUUCGAAGAUACGCGAAGAACCUUACCUGGGCUUGAUAUCCUAAGAACCUUUUAGAGAUAAGAGGGUGCUAGCUUGCUAGAACUUAGAGACAGGUGCUGCACGGCUGUCGUCAGCUCGUGUCGUGAGAUGUUGGGUUAAGUCCCGCAACGAGCGCAACCCACGUAUUUAGUUGCUAACGGUUCGGCCGAGCACUCUAAAUAGACUGCCUUCGUAAGGAGGAGGAAGGUGUGGACGACGUCAAGUCAUCAUGGCCCUUAUGCCCAGGGCGACACACGUGCUACAAUGGCAUAUACAAUGAGACGCAAUACCGCGAGGUGGAGCAAAUCUAUAAAAUAUGUCCCAGUUCGGAUUGUUCUCUGCAACUCGAGAGCAUGAAGCCGGAAUCGCUAGUAAUCGUAGAUCAGCCAUGCUACGGUGAAUACGUUCCCGGGUCUUGUACUCACCGCCCGUCACACCAUGGGAGUUGAUUUCACUCGAAGCCGGAAUACUAAACUAGUUACCGUCCACAGUGGAAUCAGCGACUGGGGUGAAGUCGUAACAAGGUAACCGUAGGAGAACCUGCGGUUGGAUCACCUCCUUUCUA
rnacentral:rRNA from 1 species